UACGUAGGGUGCGAGCGUUGUCCGGAAUUAUUGGGCGUAAAGAGCUUGUAGGCGGUUUGUCGCGUCUGCCGUGAAAUUUCGAGGCUCAACCUCGAACUUGCGGUGGGUACGGGCAGACUAGAGUGUGGUAGGGGAGACUGGAAUUCCUGGUGUAGCGGUGAAAUGCACAGAUAUCAGGAGGAACACCGAUGGCGAAGGCAGGUCUCUGGGCCACUACUGACGCUGAGAAGCGAAAGCAUGGGGGAGCGAACAGG
rnacentral:rRNA from 1 species